UACGUAGGGUGCAAGCGUUGUCCGGAAUUAUUGGGCGUAAAGAGCUCGUAGGCGGCCUGUCGCGUCGGAUGUGAAAAUCCAAGGCUCAACCUUGGACCUGCAUUCGAUACGGGCAGGCUAGAGUUCGGUAGGGGAGACUGGAAUUCCUGGUGUAGCGGUGAAAUGCGCAGAUAUCAGGAGGAACACCGGUGGCGAAGGCGGUUCUCUGGGCCUUACCUGACGCUGAGGAGCGAAAGCGUGGGGAGCAAACAGG
rnacentral:rRNA from 1 species